ACAAUGGACAAUUCUACGAAAUAAUCAACAAAAGGUUUGUGUUGUUUCUGAUCUUUCUUUGGAUACAAGGAUUUCAAUACAGAGGUAUUCUGCAAGCGAAACCAUUGCCAGGUUUUGAUGCUUUGCUGACGAAUAAUCAGGAUGUCUAGCGAUCGCCGUUUAGUCAAGGGUUUGGUCAUACUAGGCGUGGUGUUCUCUGCAGGAUUUUUCUGUGGAUAUAAAUGUAAGACUUGGCGCAUGGAAUGGCUCAAAAGACGGCGAGAGAGGCUAGCCAGCAAGUUACGAGAUACCCAAAAGCAGAUCGAGGCCAUCACAUAACCCCAACCGAUGGCAUAUCGUAAUAACUUCGUCAGUCAAUAAAGGACUUCAUUCCUCAUCUUCUGUACAUAGAUUUAAUUUAUUUAUCUUCUUUCAAUCAAAUGUUGAUUUGAAUCAAUGCUUGUUGGCACUUGCUCAUGGUACUUAUUAGACCGAUGUCGCUAUAACCGGCAACAUCGAUCAGGUGAUCAUUGGUCAUGAGCACGGAUCUGUCUUCUUCUUUCCUCUGCUUCUCUUCGUUUAUAUUCAGUCGGGGUCUUGACAAUUACUUUUAGUACGUCGUGUUCUUUUCGUGUAAGAGUGACACCGAUUCGGAUUUCAUAGCAUUGAUUAUAAAUAGCGCAAUAAGUACAAGGAGUUAAGGAUAAUAGCGGGCGGGCGAGCGAGCGAACUUGCGAGACAGAGUUGGAAGGGUCGGAAUAAUUUUGGAAAGGUAGCGCCGUAAAAAAGGUGCGUAGAAAAUUGAAAAUGCAACUGGAGAGGUGUGCUGAUUAUCACAAAUCAAGUCGUUCUGUGAACAGGAUAUCGAACCAAAUGCCAGAGGAGGCGAGAAUGAAGAUCCUGUUUCAUAGGGGUUCAUAGAAGAAGGCCAAAUUGGUGGUGUGAUUUCAUAAAGGGUUGCUUGCUUGGUUGGUUGGUUAAUGGUAAGAAAUUGCGGGGGCUCUAUUGCUCAUCUUUUUCUUUAGCACCGUGUUUGAGGAUUCGGGUGAAUUCGAUGUAAUCAAACAUGCCGUUCUUGAUCGGAGCCUCGCGAUACAUUUCGUCGACUUCUUCGUCUGUGAAUCGAUCUCCAAUGGUUGUGAGGAGCUCUCGAAGUCGAUCUUCGUGUAUGAUCCCACUGUUUUCAUCA